CGGACUGUAGUCUGCAACCCGACUACACGAAGCUGGAAUCGCUAGUAAUCGCGAAUCAGAAUGUCGCGGUGAAUACGUUCCCGGGUCUUGUACACACCGCCCGUCACACCAUGGGAGUCGGGAAUGCCCGAAGUCAGUGACCCAACCUAUAGGAGGGAGCUGCCGAAGGCAGGUCUGAUAACUGGGGUGAAGUCGUAACAAGGUAAC
rnacentral:rRNA from 1 species